CGGACGGGUGAGUAACGCGUGGGUAACCUGCCUUGUACUGGGGGACAACAGUUGGAAACGACUGCUAAUACCGCAUAAGCGCACAGCUUCGCAUGAAGCAGUGCGAAAAACUCCGGUGGUACAAGAUGGACCCGCGUCUGAUUAGCUGGUUGGUGAGGUAACGGCCCACCAAGGCGACGAUCAGUAGCCGGCCUGAGAGGGUGACGGCCACAUUGGGACUGAGACACGGCCCAA
rnacentral:rRNA from 1 species